UACGUAGGUCCCGAGCGUUGUCCGGAUUUAUUGGGCGUAAAGCGAGCGCAAGCGGUUAGAUAAGUCUGAAGUUAAAGGCUGUGGCUUAACCAUAGUAUGCUUUGGAAACUGUUUAACUUGAGUGCAGAAGGGGAGAGUGGAAUUCCAUGUGUAGCGGUGAAAUGCGUAGAUAUAUGGAGGAACACCGGUGGCGAAAGCGGCUCUCUGGUCUGUAACUGACGCUGAGGCUCGAAAGCGUGGGGAGCAAACAGG
rnacentral:rRNA from 1 species